CCGGGCCCGGGGCCACGCCACCGGACUCCAGCCGCUGGAGUUUGCCAAUUCCUUCUGUCAAGCCUUGGUGGAUCAUGGAAACUAGUCAGGUGACUGCACACUGUCCCUUCUGACCUUUGCGAUGGAAGGAAGGUCGGCUGGUGUUGCUCCAGCUGAAAGAACUCGCAUGAGGAACUGCUGCAGAGAUGCCUCCAACGUGAUUGAGCUGGAGCCCUGUUAGUGGAUGGAUUGCACUGCAAGUAUUUUCAACACGGAAGAUAUAAGGAAUUAUUUCAUGGAGCUGGCCUGUUGAAUGAAUCGUCACUGAGGAAUGUUUAAUGUUGGCAGAGGAAUCACUGAAGUCCCAAACUGGAGCUGCUGGAAAGUUGUGACUGUCGCACCUACAAAUGUUGGAUGUAUUUGUGGCGUUUGCAUCCCUUUGUUCACUGUAAUAUGGAAUGCAUGGAAAUUAUGUACUGGUUACUGUGUUUACUGCAAAUGUAUAUUUUGGGUGAUUGAGGUUUGAGCUGGUAAAUUAUAAUUCAAUUAUACUUUGUCUUUACUUGUGUGUUUUAAAUUAUAAAGCAGUGAGAAAUCCUGCUGGAUGUAUUCCUGAGUCUCCGUGUUGGGGGGUUUGCAUAUUGCUGUAAUAGAUGUUUUGCUUUACAGUUCCUGGUGUUGAGUUCAUCCAUUGAUCAUUUGUUGAGCCAUCUCUUAACAUCUAGGCAUCAGGGCAGUUGCUGAAUGUACGAUUCAGACACACAGUGUACAUUCAUAGUGGCCACAUGUGCACCUUGCAUGGGGUUAUUUGCCUGUAUUGCAAUCUCCUUCAUGAUUGAGUCAGAAUGACUGCCAAUAAAAUCUUCAAACGGCA